rnacentral:ncRNA from 1 species
CUAAAUGCAAAGAAAAGGAAAGUAACUUUAAGAAUACUUAUACAGAGAGCUUUCAUUGGUGAGAAGAAGCAAAGGAUAUUAAAGAGAAAAUGGCCUUGGAGCAGUGCACCGAGAUUUAAUAUUAAGGCUGCAACGGGUUCACCCGUAAUAGUGAUAGAGUAUAACUAUAAACAGGAUUUUUAUGAGAAAUUUUAUCUAUGUACUAGUCGUGGAAUAAAUUUCAUAUAAGCAAUUUUAAUUAUAGCGUACUUGAAGAGAUUUAUAUUGUGAAAUGUAAAUGAAGUAGGAUGGUAACACGAAGUUUUAACUCUCGUUCCUAAG